UUAAGCCCCUCUGCGCCAAUGGUACUUGUCGGGUAACCGGCCGGGAGAGUAGGUCUUCGCCAGGA
rnacentral:rRNA from 1 species